AUUGAACGCUGGCGGCAUGCCUUACACAUGCAAGUCGAACGGCAGCACGGACUUCGGUCUGGUGGCGAGUGGCGAACGGGUGAGUAAUGUAUCGGAACGUACCUUUCAGUGGGGAUAACGUAGCGAAAGUUACGCUAAUACCGCAUAUUCUGUGAGCAGGAAAGCAGGGGAUCGCAAGACCUUGCGCUGAUUGAGCGGCCGAUAUCAGAUUAGCUAGUUGGUGAGGUAAAGGCUCACCAAGGCGACGAUCUGUAGCGGUCUGAGAGGAUGAUCCGCCACACUGGAACUGAGACACGGUCCAGACUCCUACGGGAGGCAGCAGUGGGGAAUUUUGGACAAUGGGGGCAACCUGAUCCAGCCAUGCCGCGUGAGUGAAG
rnacentral:rRNA from 1 species